UACAGAGGUCUCAAGCGUUGUUCGGAUUCAUUGGGCGUAAAGGGUGCGUAGGCGGCGCGGUAAGUCGGGUGUGAAAUCUCGGAGCUUAACUCCGAAACUGCAUUCGAUACUGGCGUGCUUGAGGACUGGAGAGGAGACUGGAAUUCAUGGUGUAGCAGUGAAAUGCGUAGAGAUCAUGAGGAAGACCAGUGGCGAAGGCGGGUCUCUGGACAGUUCCUGACACUGAGACACGAAGGCCCAGGGGAGCAAAACGGGG
rnacentral:rRNA from 1 species